rnacentral:rRNA from 1 species
GGUUUGAUCAUGGCUCAGAUUGAACGCUGGCGGGAUAAGCUACGUUUACGCAAGUCGAACGGCAGCACGGACUUCGGUCUGGUGGCGAGGGCGAACGGGUGAGUAAUGUAUCGGAACGUGCCUCUAGUAGCGAUAACUACGAAAGCAGUAGCCAAUACCGCAUACGUCUUUCGGGGGAAAGCGGGGGGACCUUCGGGCCUCGCACUAUUAGGAGCCGGCCGAUACUGAAUUAGCUAGUUGGUGGGGUAACGGCUCACCAAGGCGACGAUCCGUAGCUGGUCGGAGAGGACGACCAGCCACACUGGGACUGAGACACGGCCCAGACUCCUACGGGAGCAAGUGGGGAAUUUUGGACAAUGGGGAAACCUGAUCCAGCCAUCCCCGCGUGUGCGAUGAAGGCCUUCGGGUUGUAAAAGCACUUGGCAGGAAGAAACGGCACGGGAUAAUACCCCGUGCAACUGACGGUACCUGCAGAAUAAGCACCGGCUAACUGAUGCGCCAGCAGCCGCGGUAAUACGUAGGGUGCAAGCGUUAAUCGGAAUUACUGGGCGUAAAGCGUGCGCAGGCGGUUCGAAAGAAAGAUGUGAAAUCCCAGAGCUUAACUUUGAACUGCAUUUUUAACUUACCGAGCUAGAGUGUGUCAGAGGAGGUGGAAUUCCGCGGUAGCAGGAAAUGCAGAUAUGCGGAGGAACACUGAUGGCGAAGGCAGCCUCCUGGGAUAACACUGACGCUCAUGCACGAAAAGCGUGGGGAGCAAACAGGAUUAGAUACCCCUGGUAGUCCACGCCCUAAACGAUGUCAACUAGGGCUGUUGGGGCCUUCGGGCUCUCGGUAGCGCAGCCAAUUACAGAAGCUGAAUCGCCUGGGGAGUACGGUCGCAAGAUUAAAACCCAGCGAAUUGACGGGGACCGCACAAGCGGUGGAUGAUGUGGAUUAAUUCGAUGCAACGCGAAAAACUCACCUACCUUGACAUGUUCGAAUCCCGAAGAGAUUUGGGAGUGCCUGCAAGAGAACCGGAACACAGGUGCUGUAUGGCUGUCGUCAGCUCGCCGUGAGAUGUUGGGUUAAGUCCCGCAACGAGCGCCGGUCCCUUGUUGUUAGUUAUUGUUUUAAAGCAGCACUGACGCAGACCUGCCAGUGACGUCCGGAGGAAGGUGGGAUAUCGCCGAAGCCUCAGCAGCCCCAGCGGGGGAGAGCCACACGUCACACAAUGAAGUCGGGAUGAAGAGGGCUGCCAACCCGCGAGGGGGAGCCAAUCCCAGAAACCUGAUCGUAGUCCGGAUCGCAGUCUGCAAACUCGACUGCGUGAAGCCGGAAUCGCUAGUAAUCGCGGAUCAGCAUGUCGCGGUGAAUACGUUCCCGGGUCUGUACACACCGCCCGGUCACACCAUGGGAGUGGGUUUUACCAGAAGUAGCUAGCCUAACCGUAAGGAGGGCGAUUACCACGGUAGGAUUCAUGACUGGGGUGAAGUCGUAACAAGGUA